GACGGAGGAUGCAAGCGUUAUCCGGAAUUAUUGGGCGUAAAGCGUCCGCAGGUGGACAUACAAGUCUGCUGUCAAAGUGCAGAGCUUAACUCUGUAAAGGCGGUGGAAACUGUAGGUCUUGAGUAUGGUAGGGGUAGAGGGAAUUCCCGGUGUAGCGGUGAAAUGCGUAGAUAUCGGGAAGAACACCAGUGGCGAAAGCGCUCUACUGGGCCAUAACUGACACUGAGGCGCGAAGGCGUGGGGAGCGAACGGG
rnacentral:rRNA from 1 species